CAAAGCCGGAGCUGCUUUCAUACCCACAGAAUGAGAGAGCAGGCUGGAGUCCCUCCCGACCUGUAACUCUUUCACAGGUUUUGUGCGUCUUGCUUCCACUCAGGACAGACAUUCAGAUUGUGCUGCCGGAGGGAACGGGCUGCUCUGUGAGGUGGGGAGCUCCUGGGAGCGGGGAGUCCAAGCUGAGGACCCUCAGCGGGAAUUUCAUAGCGAGGACUCAGAGAGCAGGAAGAAGCCAGCGAUCCUCUCAGUAAUCAGAGCAACAGGCAACUCAGAGCAUUCAGCAACCCACAGCGAAGGCAGAACGGUCACUCGUGAGAGGCUGGUACUCUAUCUGACUCCAGCAAACGAAGUAGCUGCAUCAUUUUCAAAUGUUUAUUUGCAGGGCUGGGCCAAGAUCCAGGAAAUAUAUAGAUGAAAACAGACCCAUCUGAACGUGGCAUUUUCACUUGAUCUAAUGGCUCAUUUGUAUUCAAUCCACUCAUUAGGAGACAGCAAAGAAUUCCAAGCCAUAGAACCCUUUGUCUUUCAGAAUGGUUACAGGAUUGCCAGGUGGUAUAUUGAAAGGUAUGACAAAUGGGGCAGGCCUGUAAAUUAAAUCAAACAAGGGUGUUUGAAGGCCAAAAUCCGAUGCUGCAUGGCAAGGUUUGGGCUGAUAGCAGUAAUGGAAAACAAAACAAAACAAAACAAAACA